AGCAAUACCUUGCUGAUACGGAAGUGGAUCCGAAGCCUCUACAACUUAGAAUCUCCACCUCCUCCUCCACUCCUACUCAAUACGUCCCCGUCGUACAGAACGGUAAGGCCGCGGGGCCACGGAGCAUUCUCAAGCUGAGAAAA
rnacentral:ribozyme from 1 species